GCUGCAGAAGAGGGUCAAACAAAUGGAGAGACAUUCUAGAUGCUGUUUACCUCACACAUAGAUCGUAUUACAUCUACGAAUAUAUAGGAUAUAUUUGCUCCCUUCUCUAUCCGAUUUUUCCUGACCUGUAACGGCCCGCGUUGGGAUGUAUGGCAGCGGCUGCUGCUGCGGCUGCAGCUCCGGCAGCGGCAUUCGUGGGGAAUGCCCGACCGCCUCGGGUGUUCUGUGGCGCUAUGUAGGCGGCCAGUGGCUGCAUACUGUUCUUGUUGCUGCUGGGAUUGUUAGCAAACUUGACGGUUAUCGGUUCGGUGGAGUUCUUCGGAGUGGUGCCGUUCAGCUCCUUAAUGGCCCGAUCGGCCUCAAAGCGCUGAUCGAAGCG